AUGGGUGGUUUAAGUAAUAAUGUUCACCUCUUACCAUUCCGAACAGAGAAGUUAAAAUUAUUAUCACUGAUGAUACUUAUUUGAAAAAAUAGGGAAAGUAAGUACUGCCCAUU
rnacentral:rRNA from 1 species